GGGGAAACAGACCUGGACUCUGCCCCAGGGUACCCAAAGGAACCGUUGGGAUUUGUGUUAUAAGCUGCAGAGGAGAUGACUCAUGUCCCAGGGGAAUGAAAUGCUGCAGCACCGGAUGUGGCCGUCAGUGCAAACCUGCUAUCCAUGUGAAUGCUGUUGAUGACCAUGUGGAAGAACAAUGGAGGUUGUAAGCCUGCCUGGAGACCAGCCCCAGAAGAUUGCUCAUGAAUGCAUGGAUCCAGUGCUUGGCCUAAUGUUUUCCACACACCAGUCCUGGCAAGUGUCUAUCCCUUAACGUGCAGUCCCAGAAGAUAAAGAUCUAAAAUGGUGGAUUGGCCGAUUCUAAAGAGCUUGUGUCCAAAAUAAAUUUUACCUGUGGCAUUA